GGUCGGGGUUUCGUACGUAGCAGAGCAGC
rnacentral:piRNA from 6 species